rnacentral:lncRNA from 1 species
AGGAAGUGACUGUAGGUUUAGAUGAAUGGAAAAUGAACUUGCCAGUUCACAGCUAUGUCCUUCCCAAUUUAGGAGGUUAAGGGCAGGAAAAACAUGAGAAACUCUUUUGAGAAGCUGCACAAGCUGACAUGGAGGAUCAAGGAUUUCAAAAGCUUUGAAUAUAAAGAGGUGAGAAUUUUUAUUUUAUUUUUUUACUAUUAUUCUGGUCUGUUGGUUGAGCUCUGAGGUUAACAUCUUACAACACUUUAAAGUGAAACUAAAACAAACACAUCAUUUUUAAAAUUGGCCAUAUCCGGAGCCCAGAAAAAUAUUACAAAUAGUAACGUGUCCUUUCGGACACCUCAUAAAAAUUUAGGGAAGAGAUAUAUGGAAAUACCUUUUAAACACUUGGCAAAUAGAA